rnacentral:rRNA from 1 species
ACGCACGCUGGCGGCGUGCUUAACCCAUGCAAGUCGAACGGUGAAGCCCUUCGGGGUGGAUCAGUGGCGAACGGGUGAGUAACACGUGAGCAACCUGCCCCUGGCUCUGGGACAACCACUGGAAACGGUGGCUAAUACCGGAUACGACCCGCCUCGGCAUCGAGUGUGGGUGGAAAGUUUUUCGGCUGGGGAUGGGCUCGCGGCCUAUCAGCUUGUUGGUGAGGUGAAGGCUCACCAAGGCGACGACGGGUAGCCGGCCUGAGAGGGCGACCGGCCACACUGGGACUGAGACACGGCCCAGACUCCUACGGGAGGCAGCAGUGGGGAAUAUUGCACAAUGGGCGAAAGCCUGAUGCAGCGACGCCGCGUGAGGGAUGACGGCCUUCGGGUUGUAAACCUCUUUCAGCUCCGAAGAAGCGAAAGUGACGGUAGGAGCAGAAGAAGCACCGGCUAACUACGUG